CUAGCCGUAAACGAUGGAUACUAGGUGUUAGAGGUAUCGACCCCUCUAGUGCCGCAGCUAACGCAUUAAGUAUCCCGCCUGGGGAGUACGACCGCAAGGUUGAAACUCAAAGGAAUUGACGGGGGCCCGCACAAGCGGUGGAGCAUGUGGUUUAAUACGUCACUAACCGUAGAACCUUACCCAGGCUUGACAUCUGUGGAACCCUGAUGAAAGUCGGGGGUGCCUCGUAAGAGGAGCCGCAAGACAGGUGU
rnacentral:rRNA from 1 species